GCCUGUGUGGCUUAGUCGGCUGAGCGUCUGACUUCAGUUCAGGUCAUGAUCUCAUGGUUCGUGGGUUCGAGCCCUGCAUCGGGCU
rnacentral:tRNA from 1 species